UUAGCCUCUCCAAGCUUCAGUCUUCUCAGGUGUAAAAUGGGAAUAAUUAUAAUGAUCAUAGUACAUUCUUCACAGAUGAAGAAUGAAUAGAAUAUAAGAGAUGAAUUAUUUACCCUGUGCCAAGUACUACACUAAAUAUUAGUCUUUGUCAUUAAAGAGCACGGAAUCAAAUGAAAGGAUCAGCACAAAGAAAAAAGAACAAGUCCUUGAAAGGCCACGGAAACAGCAUGUAAAACAUAGAAUAGAGCCAAAGAAGGUGCUCAGAUGAUUAGUCAGGCAAGGGUGUGAGACCUGAGUCUGUGGAAGAAGAUCGGUUUGCUUCCCCUUGUGUAAUCGAGGCAUUCAGACCGAUUACAUGGAGGCAUGGAGACCGGUCUAAACAAAGAUAUUUAGGAGUCAUGGUAGGCCUCUGAGCAAAGGGAUGCUGUAGGAGCUGGCUUUCCCUGCUACGCCGAGAGACAGGUUGACUAAGAAUAGCCACAUUCAUGUGAAAUUAAGUAAGCUGAUGAGACAUGAAGAAGAUGGCCUCAGGGGCCCAGCAGAUGAGAAACCUGUAGAACUAGGCAGCAGACUGAAUGGGCAACCAGAGAGGAAUGGCUAGAGGUGAUUAUGAGUCCCGGGAGUGAAUUAGAUGGUCAGGGGCUCCAGCAGAGAGAAGUCAUGAGGUAGGUUUUCUUCUUUGAAGGUGGGGAAAGACCAAGUGCAGACUGAGCUGUGGCCAGCGUUUGCAGACCAGGAAUCCACACUAGCUCUAAUCAGAGAGCUCUUGGUGUGCGGGAACUGCCAGUUUGCCGACGUGAAAAGAGCCCCAGACUGGGUACUGGUGAGCCCUGAAGUCGCACCCCAGCUCUGCCACUCAGUGAGCACGGGUAAGUCAUCCACCUUCUCCGGGCGGCCUCGAUGGCCCUCCCUCCUCUGAGGCUAAAGAAAGGGGAGGCCAGAAUGCCCAGAGCCGCCUCCUUCCCGUCUCAGGAUAGGAAAGGAUCUCAGGAACCUACUUGAUGUGGUAGGAGCUCCUGGUUGGCGGGUCAUAAACAACCCACCGUUACCAGGAAAGUCAGAUUGCAACCAUAAUCAGUGACCCAGAGCAGUGAAGGUGACACUGGUUAGCUCUACUCUGAGGGCCUGACCACUGCUUCCCUGGAAUGUUGCAGACCUUUGGAGUGGGGGCAGUUAACGGUUCUCACGCACAAGCUUCUCUCUGAGUUGGCCUCAGCCGAGCGCUAGAGAAGGGCCGCAGAAGUGUCUGUCUGCCAUUUCCCGAGCGCUUAACGCAGACAGCAAGGAUUACUGUUUUAAUUACUAUCCUGUCAGUGUGUCCUGACUUUUUUCACCUCGUAAGCACCAAGUUGACUGAAGCGUAGGACCAACACUGAGUACUUUGAAAGAAAGCUGUUUGAUUCCUGUUCACUGAAUGCCAUUUCUUUCAGGGUAGAUUUAAGGGCCUUGCCCUUAAAGAACAGUGCCAUUGACCCUAGUUUGAGGGUUCAAGCCACCCCAUGGGUUAACUUCAACAGAUGAAAAUUUUUCCUUGGCUACAGCAACAUCCCUAAUCCUGACCAGCCAUGGAGAGGUUCGGUUCUUACAAGGAAAAUG
rnacentral:lncRNA from 1 species